AUAACUAUGUUGAUCUGUAACAUGCUAGAAGAAUCUUUCAUUUAAUUGGUCCUUCAAUGAAGUAGUCUGGUUCCGCGUGCCUUCAGUGCCCU